AGAAGCGACCUCGCGAGAGCAAGCGGACCUCAUAAAGUGCGUCGUAGUCCGGAUUGGAGUCUGCAACUCGACUCCAUGAAGUCGGAAUCGCUAGUAAUCGUGGAUCAGAAUGCCACGGUGAAUACGUUCCCGGGCCUUGUACACACCGCCCGUCACACCAUGGGAGUGGGUUGCAAAAGAAGUAGGUAGCUUAACCUUCGGGAGGGCGCUUACCACUUUGUGAUUCAUGACUGGGGUGAAGUCGUAACAAGGUAACCGUAGGGGAACCUGCGGUUGGAUCACCUCCUUA
rnacentral:rRNA from 1 species